GGAGCUGUGGUGUAGCACGGUUUAACACGCCGGCCUGUCACGCCGGAGAUCGCGGGUUCAAAUCCCGUCAGCUCCGCCA
rnacentral:tRNA from 1 species